rnacentral:lncRNA from 1 species
GGAGGCCCAAAACCACAAGGGGAACCAGUUGAGCCCAAUCAACUUGGUUGACCUCACACGGAUACUCCCAACCGUCAGAUCUGUAUAUCUGACUUGGUCAAACAUAACGAAUGGAUAUGAUGAGGGAGCAUAAUAACAGAUCAUGGGACGUCCAUACUGAAACACCUGGUUGACCAACGGUCAAACACAGACGAGGCAUGUCACAGGAGCGACACUUGGCACUCAUGCAUCGGGCCAGUCGUGGGUAUUUAACCCUCGCCUUGAGAAAAACCAGUUCAUUUGGUGAAAUCCUUUCUCUCUCUUCACUUCAGGGCUCCUUUUUCUCUGCAAGCGAAGACGCCUCCCUCCGGCCAAAUUCCAUCGGAGAAGACGGUGGUUGUCGGCCACCGGCGACGGCGCCACCUUCUUCUCCGAUGAACCCACCUCCAAACUCCAAAUAAACAAUAGUAACCCUCUCUCUUUCUGGCCAACGAACCCAAAUCCAGACUUGCUAUUCGCUCAAACACCCAGAUUGAACCUUGAUAAGACGGAAAACAACAAACCUCAACAAGAAUGAUCCCCCAACGCAAACCAACUUAAACUAAAUUCUCCCCAACAAAUAAAACGUCACCAGAACAGUCAGAAAAAUACAAUCAAACACAAACCCUAAAUUUGCAAUUAAAUCCCCAAUAGCAGCAAUUUGAUACAGUUAAAGUGGGGUUUCCAGUCAGUGCAACAAGGUGAUCGUAAUGGUGUAAAGAUUUUAAGCGAAAAAGGAAAGAAGUAUACUUGAUCGGUUGGUCUGCCGCCGACGUCCUUUCUCCGAUGUGAUUCAGAUGAGUCUCCUAUUUAACUUCAAUUCCUCUCCUUCUUCACCUCUUUUUUGCUUUUUGAAUGUUGUUGGUUGUCUCAUUUAGGGUAUGAGCUCUCCUAGUUCAGAGUUUCAGUGUGAAACUCUAACUUAGGUUUUGAGAAUAAUGAGCUUUAGGUAAAUGGUUCUUGAUGAAUUUUGGCAGAAUAAAAGCACGUAUCUCGCCCCUUUCUUCUGGCGCAAUAGCUUUAUUUAUAGGGCAAGGAAGAAGGAUAAGUAUGUAAAACUCUUUUGAAUGAUGAGCUGGUAAUUUAGGAUAACCGUUAGGAGAUCUUGGUACAUCCCAGAUUUCAUGGGAUCCAAAUGGUAAGCCCCUCGCCUUGAGUGGUGCUACCACUUUGCAACAAAAUGAAACCAUCGUACUCCCUGUGGUCCCCUGUAUAAAUUACCUUUCAAAUUAUUAAAUCCAUGUUCCAGUUUUUUAAUUGUUUUCAGUUUAAGAUGCAGAUAACUUGCUCCUUUGUUUGAUUAUUGUUAAUUCGAAAUGUUUUGUUGAAGAAGUCAUAUUAUCUAAUGCUUUGGAUUUGAUCCCUUUUCCUUUAACAGGUCACGAGGUACGGAACGUACAAAUGGGACCAUGGCUUGACGCGGGGAGCUUUGAAAAGAAAAGAGUUUUAGGUUAAGUGUAAAAAAACCGAGUAUUUUAGGGGUGGAUCUUUGUUGUAGUGUACUAUAACACCACUUGUGCACCGAAAUGGUAUCUUCAAUGUAAACUUAAUUAAUUUUGUAAGUGUCACUUAAUUGUAACCUUGAAGGAAAAAUGGCAAACCAAUAUUUGUUCCCUUAAAUUUGGAUCAGCG